rnacentral:rRNA from 1 species
UACGAAGGGGGCUAGCGUUGUUCGGAUUUACUGGGCGUAAAGCGCACGUAGGCGGGUCGUUAAGUCAGGGGUGAAAUCCCGGAGCUCAACUCCGGAACUGCCUUUGAUACUGGCGACCUUGAGGCUGGAAGAGGUUAGUGGAAUUCCCAGUGUAGAGGUGAAAUUCGUAGAUAUUGGGAAGAACACCAGUGGCGAAGGCGACUACCUGGCCUGUUCUUGACGCUGAGGCGCGAAAGCUAGGGGAGCAAACGGG